GAUGAACGCUGGCGGCGUGCCUAAUACAUGCAAGUCGAGCGAACAGACGAGGAGCUUGCUCCUCUGACGUUAGCGGCGGACGGGUGAGUAACACGUGGAUAACCUACCUAUAAGACUGGGAUAACUUCGGGAAACCGGAGCUAACACCGGAUAAUAUAUUGAACCGCAUGGUUCAAUAGUGAAAGACGGUUUUGCUGUCACUUAUAGAUGGAUCCGCGCCGCAUUAGCUAGUUGGUAAGGUAACGGCUUACCAAGGCAACGAUGCGUAGCCGACCUGAGAGGGUGAUCGGCCACGCGGGAACUGAGACACGGUCCAGACUCCUACGGCAGGCAGCAGUAGGGAAUCUUCCGCAAUGGGCGAAAGCCUGACGGAGAAACGCCGCGUGAGUGAUGAAGGUCUUCGGAUCGUAAAACUCUGUUAUUAGGGAAGAACAAAUGUGUAAGUAACUAUGCACGUCUUGACGGUACCUAAUCAGAAAGCCACGGCUAACUACGUGCCAGCCGCCGCCGUAA
rnacentral:rRNA from 1 species